rnacentral:misc_RNA from 1 species
AAGUCGUAACAAGGUUUCCGUAGGUGAACCUGCGGAAGGAUCAUUGACGAGAGAAGAAGAAAAAGGUGUGAAUAGCCGGGGGGUGUGGGGGGGAUGGUUAAGGUUUUAGUACAUGUACUUGUACUUGUAUUUGUACUUGUGCUUUACUUUACACCUCAAACCCUCAAACCCUCAAACCCCCCUGGAUAAUACUAUAAACUAUCCUAAUGGAAAAAAAAUAAUUUAAAUACAACUUUUAACAAUGGAUCUCUUGGCUCUU